ensembl:misc_RNA Metazoa_SRP Metazoan signal recognition particle RNA
GCCAGGCACAAUGGUGCAUGCCUGUAGUCCCACCUACUUGGGAGGCUAAGGCUGGAGGAUUGCUUGAGUCUAGGGUUUCUGAGCUUUAGUGCGCUAUGCCAAUCAGGUGUCUGCACUAAGCUCGGCAUCAAUAUGGUGACCUCCCGGGAGCAGGGGACCACCAGGUUGCCUAAAGAAGAGUGAACUGGCCCAGGCUGGAAAUGGAGCAGGUCGAAACUCCCGUGCUGAUCAGUAGUGGGAUCGCACCUGUGAAUAGCCACUGCACUCCAGCCUGGGCAACAUAGUGAGACCCCAUCUCUA